UGGGAUCUCAGGGUAAAGCUG
rnacentral:miRNA from 1 species